UGAUAAAUUUACAAUAUUUCUCAACCGCCUAUGUUAAAUCUACAUUUCGUUUAACCUAUAAACGUUCAAAAAGAGGUUAUGAAAUCUUGAAAUCAACGUUCGGUUACACGUUGAAACAAUUAUUUUCUUCGCACACUCGAAAAUGAGUUUAAAUCCAAAUACACAUGAUUGUUCGAGCCACAUGUUCGAUACGAGAAAUCGAAAAUUAGACGACGAUUGGCCUCACUUAAUUCGGAAAAAAUCGCGGAAUGGCCGCGACGCGAUCACGAAGAAGGAGUAGGUGGGGGAAAGGAAGGACGGUGAGGAAGAGAGGAGGGAGGAAAGAGGGGAAGGAAGAUCGAUGGCGGGCCAGGAGUGGCUGUUAUUUUUUCCACGAGGGACACGUGGCUACGUGGCGACCGCCACGUUAAGUAAAAUGUUUAGUUAACGCGCUCGUUAAACGGUAUUGAGGGUAUCUGGAGUGGAAGAAUCGCGUGGAACAGGUGAAUAGCGGGUUACGAGACACCUUUGUCUCGUGAAAAACCGGGGGAAUCUAAUAUCAUCGCGGAGAAGACACAAAGAAGGGAACGCGUGAAACGCGAACGCGGUUGAAAAACAUUUGCGCAACGGAAUGCAAAACCGGUCUAAACUCUUCGCAGCGCGCGUUGAAAUAAAGGCAAGAGGAAUCCUAUUAAAUCUCUUUUCUUUGCGCCUUCUUCUUUCUUUUUUUCUUUCUUUUUUCUUUCUUUUCCUCUUUAUUCGAGCUCACUCGAAUUUACUUCCACAUCCUUUUGAUCGGUCGGUGAAAGUUUUCCAUCUUGUGAAAAUUGUGAAAAGUUUUUUCUCUUCGGGGAAGAAGAUUUUUCGUCGAGUAGAGAGUAGCGCAUAGUUUUUGUCUCUGGGAUAUCGUUUUUACUCACGAGUUUCUCCGCUUUGUUAAAAAUUUGUUAAAAAAUAUUUUAUACGUGGAGAAAAAAAAAUUACGUUGAAAGGUCGAAUUUCGUCUAUCUCUCUGUUAAGUUACGAUCGUUAAAAAUACGGAAUUUUCCUUUUGACGUGAGGCACGAGUAAUAAAAAGACAUUUUUUUUUUUUUUUUAUGAUCGUGAUUCUACGUUUCUUUUCACGCUGUGUAUUACGAGCAAUGUAAACAAGGGAAACACGAAUGAAAGAGAAAAUCGGGAAAAGUUAAUUGGAACAAAUUGGAAUUUGUAUUGCGCGAGAAUCGAAACAUGAUUUGGAUAUCAAGAAUGGUAAUUUGAACGUUGAUCGGCCAAGUGAGAUUUAUCAUACAGUGAAAUACGUAUUCGUUUUAAUCCGAUUUGAAGGAGGGAGGAGGAAAACAAGUAUUCGCGUAAUCAUCUCUCUAUUCACGAUUUUCCACUCGUAAUAUAUCGAUAAGUAAAAAAAAAAAAAAAAUUCAUAAGCUUAUUUUUAUUAUUAUUACUAUCAUAAUAACGCAAAUUAUAUACGUAUCAAUGACUCAUAGUUGCAAAAUGAGAAUGUAUAAUAUAACUUGAGCAGGAAAGGAAAAAAAAAAAAAAUACCGUCAUUAUAUUCAUAUUCAUCGAUCGUUACGUCGAACAGGAAGUGAAGUCACCCGAUUAAAUCAAACCGUCCGUAAAGACAUUUUUUUUAACCGAACGUUCGAUAAUCAUUUUUGCAAGCGAAAUAUUAUCAUACCGAGAAUCAACUUUCGAAAAAAUCCUACUCUCGAAAACAGAUACAUUUAUUUGAAAAUGUAAAACUUUCCACUAUUUGACAGGAUUUUUCAUUUUCAACCUAUACGAAAUAUCGAGCUGAAUUUGAUUAAAAGUGAAGGAUUUCUUCUUUUUGGACGAAGAAAAAUGGAUUGUUUAUACGGAAAUAAAAAUCGAAAGUUUCGAAAAGAUUAAAGUUAAAAUUUCGCACGAAAAGGAAAAAGUUUAAAAUUAUGUGAAAUUACAAGAGAAAAAAAAAAAAAGAAAAAAGAAAAAUUCUAUCAACAGACCGGCGACGAAAGUUUUCUUGGCAGAAACGAUACGAUUGUAUCUGUCCGCUGGUGGCCGAAUAACAGGAAAAUUAGCACAAGAUCGUGCCCCUCGUGUAUACACGUGUGUGAGUGUGUGAAUGUCCCCACUGUUGAUACAGUAGCUAUCGAUGGAAGUGGGUCGGUUCGUCAGUCUGUCCCAGCCUGUUUUCAGCGAAAACGUGUCCAUCCGACAAGAGGAUGUUUCAAGUCUCUCUCUCGUACGUAACCGGUUACACAGGGUUAUAAAAGACAUUUGCAACUUGCGUGAGAGAUCGAUUGCGAUGGUGUGAUUACGAGGAGAAAAGAAAAGAAAAGGAAGGAAAAUAGAGAAAUAAAUCAGAGUCACACGCGUGUACGAGUAUAACAAGUAUAUGUAAUAUUUGCAUACAUGUUCGUACGUGUGUAUAUAACAUCAUUUUGACGACUUUAGCAUUGAGGCAUUGAAAGUGUGUUGUACAGAUAAAAUUACAUUGUAACAAGGAAUAGCAGCCUUGCAACUUGAAUUCUUUUCCCUUUAUUGAAGAUAAAUGGAAGUAAGUACAAACUUGGGCAGAAAAAUUAAUAUAAAAGGAAGAAAUUUUAAAAAUAGUAUUAUCAAUAAUAAACUCGUACAAUUGUUCUUAUUCAUCUAUGAUAAUCUGUACUCUCAACGUUUACAUCUGUAAUCAUCUAGAUCCCAGUGUAACAACAUUAAAAUUUCCAAAUAUAUGUUUUCGAGUCGUGAGAUUGGAGGUUUUGAUAAUAUAGAACAUACACGAUUUUGUAUUAAAUUUUGAAUUCUGUGAAUGCAAGAAAGAGAGAAAGAGAGAGAAAUAGAAAGAGAGAAAGAAAUAGAAUAUAUAUAUAGAGAGAAAGAGAGAGAAAGGGGGUAAGAAGGAGGGGACGUGACACGCUUAUCAGGAGGCAAAACAACACCAUAUCUAUAUAGGUAUAUUUCAAUACGAUAAUGUCACACGGUGCAACCAGCGUUAUUACAAUACGAUCUUGGUAUAUAUACGUACACGGAGUAAACAUGGGCAGUUGAAUACUACGGAUUCGUCCCAGGUGUAAAAGAAACAGGAAGAAGCUAAAUCGUAGACAAUAUAGGAACAGAGAGACUUUAUAUGUAUAUAGUAGAGGAGAGAGAGAGAAAAUCUCAAAAAAAAAGAAUAAAAUGAAAACUGCAAGAUACAGCAUUUUAAUUAAAAAGAACAGUGUAUAUAUGUAUGUGUGUAUGUGUGUACGGUAAUUGAUAAAGGUAAAGAGCUACUAAAGAGGUAAUAGCAUUAACCCGUGCCAGCUGGAAUCUAAGGCAAGGGUGUGUAUUUUCAUAUUUAUCUCAAGAAAGAGAGAAAGAAAGAGGGGAAAGAGAGAGGGAGAGAGAGAGAGAAAAAAAAUGAUAAAAAAAAGGGGAGGGGGAAAGAAAAUUGCGGGCAGUUUCUUUGUACUUUAUGUGUGGAUAUAUAUAUAUUGUAUAUAUAUAUUGUAUAUAAUCGUACAGAGAGAAAGAAGAUGGAUGGUAAGGGAGCCCGCGGGAGCUCUCUCGCGUUUCUUAUCGAGCAUCUUUUUCUCUCUCGAUGCCUGUGUGUGGUGAAACGGGG